GGGGAACUCAGCAUUGAAAAACGAGUCGGGGUAUGAAAUUUACCUCGAUCGGUGAUUGAAAAACUCCCCGGUGCGGCGGCGGCCGGCUCCUCCGGCGUUUGGUUCGUCUUCUCCAACGAGGGCAGGUGGCUAGGGUUUUUGUGGUCAGGUGUGAGGGUUUUAUUUAUACCUUUUUGCCUUUUAAUCACAGCCGUCCAUCUUGAUUGAAUCUGGACCAUUUGUACUUGAUUGCAU
rnacentral:lncRNA from 1 species